GACACGCUAACAGCCAAUCAUGUAACAGUUUGGUUGCGCCAUAUCGUUGUCUCGUGUUGGAUUCUUCGAGGAGCGUCUCGCUGCAGCCUGCGGUGGACGUCCAACCCGGCCCACAUCCAAGUGUGACGUCACAGACCACGCCCAUGUCAAAAUACGUCACAUUCUCAAUCAUUUUGAAACAGGAAGAAGCAUCGAUAAGAAGAUAAUUUGUAUUGUUUGCCAACCGCUAAAAAAAGAAGCUGUUGUUUGCCGUGUCGCAUUCUACACAUUUUCAGUCCAAGCCUGAUGCAGGGCAGUUCUCCCGGGUUAAGGGGUCCCUGCUGCAGUUUCACCAGUAAAGAAAAUUACUUGUUACAGUUCAUUUGAAGGACCACAUAAGCCAUGCAGUGGUGCAUGGAGGAGCGCCAAGAGGACAUAAAGUGGAAGUUUGUAAGGGACAUUGGUCCGGCGUGGUACAGAGUCAUCAUGGGUUAUUCUGUGGGGAGGUGACAGG
ensembl:lncRNA